AAACGUGUAGUAAUUAAAAAAAAAAAACAAUAACAAAAAAAAAAUUAUUUAAAUUCUAAACACAUUUUAUUUGUUUGACACACAAACAGCCAUGUACGUGGCUGACGUCUGUUUGGCACACCUCCACUCGCACGAACUUAAUUCUGGUACACAAUUAGGAUAGAAAGGUUGCCCGGGAAAUGGUUGGCCUUUGGAAAACACAUAAGGAUUUGGAUUUACCACCUUGGCUAUGUCGGUAUACGAACGACCUCGUGAACUUCUUCCCCUGGAGUUAUAACCAGAAUAUCGGGGAAAUUCGGGCAUUGCCAGAGACAGGUAGACAUUUAGCAGGAAGGCCACAAAUAAGACAAAUAUAAUUUUCAUUUCUGCUGUUA